rnacentral:rRNA from 1 species
AUUGAACGCUGGCGGCAUGCCUAACACAUGCAAGUCGAACGAGUGGCGGACGGGUGAGUAAUGUCUAGGAAACUGCCUGAUGGAGGGGGAUAACUACUGGAAACGGUAGCUAAUACCGCAUACCAUCAGAUGUGCCCAGAUGGGAUGAGCGAGUGGGUGGGGUAACGGCUCACAAAGGGGACGAUCCCUGGCUGGUCUGAGAGGAUGACCGGCAACACGGGAACGGAGACACGCUCCAGACUCCUACGGGAGGCAGCAGUGGGGAAUAUUGCACAAGGGGCGCAGGCCUGAGAAGGCCAUGCCGCGUGUAGGUAGCAGGCCUUCGGUUUUUAAAGUACUUUCAGCGGGGCGGCGUUACCGGCAGAGGAAGCACCGGCUAACUCCGUGCCAGCAGCCGCGGUAAUAC